GACGAACGCUGGCGGCGUGCUUAACACAUGCAAGUCGAACGAGAAAGCACUUCGGUGCGAGUACAGUGGCGAACGGGUGAGUAACACGUGGGCAACCUGCCCCGGAGAGAGGGACAACCCGAGGAAACUCGGGCUAAUACCUCAUGAUCCGUCCCGACUUAAGUCGGGCCGGCAAAUGGUAGCUUCGGCCUCCGCUCUGGGAUGGGCCCGCGCCGGAUUAGCUAGUUGGUUGGGGUAAUGGCCCACCAAGGCGACGAUCCGUAGCUGGUCUGAGAGGACGAUCAGCCACACUGGGACUGAGACACGGCCCAGACUCCUACGGGAGGCAGCAGUGGGGAAUCUUGCGCAAUGGGCGAAAGCCUGACGCAGCAACGCCGCGUGAGGGAAGAAGGCCUUCGGGUUGUAAACCUCUUUCAGGAGGGACGAAGCCACCAGGGUUAAUAGCCUAUGGGGUGACGGUACCUUCAGAAGAAGCCCCGGCUAACUACGUGCCAGCAGCCGCGGUAAUACGUAGGGGGCAAGCGUUGUCCGGAAUCAUUGGGCGUAAAGCGCGUGUAGGCGGCUUGGUAAGUCUGGCGUGAAAUCUUGGGGCUCAACCCCAAGCCUGCGUUGGAUACUGCCUCGCUCGAGUCCGGGAGAGGAAAGCGGAAUUCCCAGUGUAGCGGUGAAAUGCGCAGAUAUUGGGAAGAACACCGGUGGCGAAGGCGGCUUUCUGGAACG
rnacentral:rRNA from 1 species